rnacentral:rRNA from 1 species
AUUGAACGCUGGCGGAAGGCCUAACACAUGCAAGUCGAACGAGUGGCGGACGGGUGAGUAAUGUAUGGGAAACUGACCGAUGGAGGGGGAUAACUGCUGGAAAAGGUAGCUAAUACCGCAUACCAUCGGAUGUGCCCUGAUUGGAUUAGCUAGUAGGUGGGGUAAUGGCUAACCUAGGAGACGAUCCCUAGCUGGUCUGAGAGGAUGCCCAGCCACACUGGAACUGAGACACGGUCCAGACUCCUACGGGAGGCAGCAGUGGGGAAUAUUGCACAAUGUGCGCAAGCCUGAUGCAGCCAUGCCGCGUGUAUGAAGAAGGCUGUCGGGUUGUAAAGGACUUUCAGCGAGGAGGCGUUACUCGCAGAAGAAGCACCGGCUAACUCCGUGCCAGCAGCCGCGGUAAUAC